rnacentral:rRNA from 1 species
AACGAGCGCUGGCGGCAUGCCUAACACAUGCAAGUCGAACGAGACCUUCGGGUCUAGUGGCGCACGGGUGCGUAACGCGUGGGAACCUGCCCUUAGGUUCGGAAUAACUCCCCGAAAGGGGUGCUAAUACCGGAUAAUGUCUUCGGACCAAAGAUUUAUCGCCUUUGGAUGGGCCGGCGUUGGAUUAGCUAGUUGGUAGGGUAAAAGCCUACCAAGGCGACGAUCCAUAGCUGGUCUGAGAGGAUGAUCAGCCACACUGGGACUGAGACACGGCCCAGACUCCUACGGGAGGCAGCAGUGGGUAAUAUUGGACAAUGGGCGAAAGCCUGAUCCAGCACUGCCGCGUGAGUGAUGAAGGCCUUAGGGUUGUAAAGCUCUUUUACCCGGGAUGAUAAUGACAGUACCGGGAGAAUAAGCUCCGGCUAACUCCGUG